rnacentral:tRNA from 3 species
UGGUCGGGAUAGCUCAGCUGGUAGAGCAG